CAAAAAUACAUAACUCAAUAGGAGGCCAGUCUGCUGGAUUCUCCAACCUGAAUUCAUCAACACAUGGUGCCUUCAGCUAAUUGUGACGUAAAUGGUAAACCAUACCCCACCAAUGACAAUUUCAAAGCCACCUGGGCUGGUACGACGUACACUGUGUGAGCCAUACGCUGGCGAAAUUCUGAAAGCAGCAGGAUAUUUAGUGGUGGGGCACUAUCGGUUCCUGAUGCC
rnacentral:lncRNA from 1 species